rnacentral:misc_RNA from 1 species
GAUGAAGACGUAGUGAAAUGCGAUAAGUAGUGUGAAUUGCAGAAUUCAGUGAAUCAUCGAAUCUUUGAACGCACAUUGCGCCCCUCGGUAUUCCGUGGGGCAUGCCUGUUCGAGCGUCAUUUAACCCCUCAAGCCUAGCUUGGUAUUGGGUGCUUGUCCCGCCUCUCGCGCGGCGACUCACCUCAAAGUCAUUGGCAGCCCGCAUCUCGCCGGCCGUGAGCGCAGCACAGACGCGCUCUUGGCAACGACGGAUCGGCUCUCCAAAAGCUUAUUUCAACCACUGACCUCGGAUCAGGUAGGGAUACCCGCUGAACUUAAGCAUAUCAAUAAGCGGAGGA